AUGAACGCUAGCGACAGGCUUAACACAUGCAAGUCGAGGGGCAGCACAGGUAGCAAUACCGGGUGGCGACCGGCGCACGGGUGAGUAACGCGUAUGCAACUUACCUAUCAGAGGGGGAUAACCCGGCGAAAGUCGGACUAAUACCGCAUGAAGCAGGGGCCCCGCAUGGGGAUAUUUGCUAAAGAUUCAUCGCUGAUAGAUAGGCAUGCGUUCCAUUAGGCAGUUGGCGGGGUAACGGCCCACCAAGCCGACGAUGGAUAGGGGUUCUGAGAGGAAGGUCCCCCACAUUGGUACUGAGACACGGACCAAACUCCUACGGGAGGCAGCAGUGAGGAAUAUUGGUCAAUGGCCGAGAGGCUGAACCGGCCAAGUCGCGUGAGGGAUGAAGGUUCUAUGGAUCGUAAACCUCUUUUAUAAGGGAAUAAAGUGCGGGACGUGUCCCGUUUUGUAUGUACCUUAUGAAUAAGGAUCGGCUAACUCCGUGCCAGCAGCCGCGGUAAUACGGAGGAUCCGAGCGUUAUCCGGAUUUAUUGGGUUUAAAGGGUGCGUAGGCGGCCUUUUAAGUCAGCGGUGAAAGUCUGUGGCUCAACCAUAGAAUUGCCGUUGAAACUGGGGGGCUUGAGUAUGUUUGAGGCAGGCGGAAUGCGUGGUGUAGCGGUGAAAUGCAUAGAUAUCACGCAGAACCCCGAUUGCGAAGGCAGCCUGCCAAGCCAUGACUGACGCUGAUGCACGAAAGCGUGGGGAUCAAACAGGAUUAGAUACCCUGGUAGUCCACGCAGUAAACGAUGAUCACUAGCUGUUUGCGAUACACUGUAAGCGGCACAGCGAAAGCGUUAAGUGAUCCACCUGGGGAGUACGCCGGCAACGGUGAAACUCAAAGGAAUUGACGGGGGCCCGCACAAGCGGAGGAACAUGUGGUUUAAUUCGAUGAUACGCGAGGAACCUUACCCGGGUUUGAACGCAUUCGGACCGAGGUGGAAACACCUUUUCUAGCAAUAGCCGUUUGCGAGGUGCUGCAUGGUUGUCGUCAGCUCGUGCCGUGAGGUGUCGGCUUAAGUGCCAUAACGAGCGCAACCCUUGCCACUAGUUACUAACAGGUAAAGCUGAGGACUCUGGUGGGACUGCCAGCGUAAGCUGCGAGGAAGGCGGGGAUGACGUCAAAUCAGCACGGCCCUUACAUCCGGGGCGACACACGUGUUACAAUGGCGUGGACAAAGGGAAGCCACCUGGCGACAGGGAGCGAAUCCCCAAACCACGUCUCAGUUCGGAUCGGAGUCUGCAACCCGACUCCGUGAAGCUGGAUUCGCUAGUAAUCGCGCAUCAGCCAUGGCGCGGUGAAUACGUUCCCGGGCCUUGUACACACCGCCCGUCAAGCCAUGGGAGCCGGGGGUACCUGAAGUCCGUAACCGCGAGGAUCGGCCUAGGGUAAAACUGGUGACUGGGGCU
rnacentral:rRNA from 1 species